GACGAACGCUGGCGGCGUGCCUAAUACAUGCAAGUCGAGCGAGCGGAACCAACAGAUUUACUUCGGUAAUGACGUUGGGAAAGCGAGCGGCGGAUGGGUGAGUAACACGUGGGGAACCUGCCCCUAAGUCUGGGAUACCAUUUGGAAACAGGUGCUAAUACCGGAUAAUAAAGCAGAUCGCAUGAUCAGCUUUUGAAAGGCGGCGUAAGCUGUCGCUAAGGGAUGGCCCCGCGGUGCAUUAGCUAGUUGGUAAGGUAACGGCUUACCAAGGCGACGAUGCAUAUCCGACUUGAGAGACUGAUCGGCCACAUUGGGACUGAUACACGGCCCAAACUCCUACGGGAGGCAGCAGUAGGGAAUCUUCCACAAUGGACGCAAGUCUGAUGGAGCAACGCCGCGUGAGUGAAAGAAGGUUUUCGGGAUCGUAAAGCUCUGUUGUUGGUGAAGAAAGGAUAGAGGUAGUACCUGGGCCUUUUAUUUGACCGGUAAU
rnacentral:rRNA from 1 species